ACUGUAGCUCUAGUGAAUUUACUACAUUACGAAUUUUAGUAGCUCGCUAUAUCGUCACUUUCAAGUGUAUUAAGAAAUCAUUAGCUAGAGUCAAUGCGUCGAGAACAAUUCGAUGUCUCUCCUGAUUCGGUACAGCGGAGACUACAGUUUGCAUUGAGACGUAACAGCCAAACUGUGUUAACAAUCAAUUUUAAACGCUCUAAUAGGCCAGUCCGAGGCUAUUCGUUUUCGAUCGAACACGAUCUUUCCCCUCGAUACUUCUUCUGAUCCCCUGCGAGUUCUUCUUUUAGACAGUUUUCAUGCAUGAUAUAGCUUUUCCCUUUUCGAACUCCCCCGAAUAUAAAGUUUUCUCUGAUUAAUCUUUCGAAGAUAUUAAAAUUGUAUCGUUCGGGUCUUGGACAGUAGGAAAUUGCGCGAAUAACAUGCAACGCCCGAUCGAUGAUUAAUUGAAUUUUAAACAGAGUUGUCCAAAUUUUCAAGGUAUUCGCGUAUGCACAGUGAAAGAGGUAGAUAGUAACCUGAUAAUUCUAAUACCGUAGUAUUCUCGACCAACUAAGACAGGCCUGUUCAACAUGUGGCCCGCGGGUCAAAAUUGAAUCGCGCGCCUACCGGUUUGCUCUUUCAGCCGAGGGGAAUGAACCCCCUCCAUAUCCACAAGAAGCCGACGAGUACAAGCAAGAAAGCGUUUGCGCAUGCUCUGCCUGUCCCCACUUCCGAUAUUCCCGAAAUCCCUACCCGCAUCACCCGCAGUUGCCGCCGGAUACCCGAUCGCAACGCAGUGCAGGCGAUUAAUGGGAAUUGGAUUGAGUGAUGGUUGGGACCGCGUUGUGUUUGUGUUGUCUGGCAAUGUGACCCCCGGGCUACAUGUUGGACAAAGAGAAGCGUGGCCCUUCAAGGUCCACGGUUUCUGUGAUUCUCUCGUACCUUAUUAAUUAUUAUUACUAUCGCCGCAUAUAUAUUCUAUCAUCUAUGAACUUGUCGUUACGUGUCAUUCUUGUAUAAAAAGCUGUUGGCGUCUACGCGGAUAUUCUAAAAUGAGAUUUUACGUGUAUAUAUGUCAUUGGAUUUGUUGAAUUUCUCAAGUUUAUUGCAAAACCUGUACCAUACACUCGGGAAAGGUCGAAUGUUAAGCGUUUCCGCGUGAUUGUAAAUUUUUCGCACAAUCCCAUACCAUCCUGCACACCAAUCCCUGAUCAUCAGGCAGCACAACUGAUAACUGUUGACAACAGCUGAGAAUGUAAUAGGGGAAUGGAAUGAAUGAUUGAGGAUGGAGGAUGGAUGACCAUCUUUGCCUUACCAACAGCAUGUUUGCCAGAGCUGGAUACUCAGUCACCUCUAUACCAAACAAGCUCUCGCCACUGCUGUAGGUAAGAUACUUUUCCCACAAUUCAUCGAGACGUGCUUGAAAUAGAAGAAGUCUGAAAAAAUUACGAUUAUCAUUGAUGAAAAGAUGAAAAUCAUGAUUAUUAUUUACGAUGUUACCGAUCACUAGCUUCUUUUGCUGGUAUGCC